rnacentral:rRNA from 1 species
AUUGAACGCUGGCGGCAGGCCUAACACAUGCAAGUCGAGCUAGUGGCGGACGGGUGAGUAAUGUAUGGGGACUGCCCGAUAGAGGGGGAUCACUCCUGGAAACGGUAGCUAAUACCGCAUACUAUCGGAUUACCCAAAUGGGAUUAGCUAGUAGGUGAGGUACUGGCUCACCUAGGCGACGAUCCCUAGCUGGUCUGAGAGGAUGAUCCGCCACACUGGGACGGAGAAACGGCCCAGAAUCCUACGGAGGCAGCAGUGGGGAAUAUUGCACAAUGGGCGCAAGCCUGAUGCAGCCAUGCCGCGUGUAUGAAGAAGGCCCUAGGGUUGUAAAGUACUUUCAGUCGGGAGGCGUUACCGACAGAAGAAGCACCGGCUAACUCCGUGCCAGCAGCCGCGGUAAUUC